UCUUCACAAUUGCCAGUCAGGAGAAAUGCUCAAGGUUUAAAAAAUAAUUUAUGAAGGGAAAGAAUUCUGAAAUCUUGAAAAUCACUGUGUAAUUAGAACGGCGUCCUUAGGGGAAGAAAUAUGUAGAAGUGCAUAUUCCAAAAUUUGAUGAAUUACUGAAGGAAACUUGUGCAAUUCAAGAAGAAUGCCAUGAUGACAGCAAAGGAAAUGUUUUUUAUAUUUCUCUGCCUGUAAGUACUUCAUAGUUUACGAAGAAGAUUAACUUUCUAGGAGGCUGGGAGAAGUACCUGGCUAAAUAUGAAAAACGCUUUGUUUGAAAGCAAACCUCCUCCAACAUAAUAAAUAAAAUGUCCACGCCUUGCGCUACUGAAGACGAAGACGCGUAUAGCAGAGUGGCCGCCACAAAGAGCAGUCGUGGCCCGGACCAGGCCCACAGUUACCUGCAUUUUUCAAAAAAGGAAGACUGCCAUGAGUACGCGAUUAUGACCAGUUCUUGCUGGUGGUUAUGGAAUUUGGCUGUUCUGCUAAGGAUAAGAACAUAAGGUCGUUUCCACUGGAAGGAAGGCCUGAAAGCGGUGCGAGCUGCCCCUCACACGUCCUCGAGGCCUCCCUCGCUCACCGCCCAAGAAGGCUUCCCACCGGUGACGCACGAGAAGUCCAAGCGAGGCCCUUCGGGACGCUGCGCGGCCUGCCAGAGGGGCACGUCGGUUGGCCCCACGUCUUGGCUACUGUGAGCUGUGCUGCAGUGAGCACCACAGUGGGAACACCUCUCGAGACAACAGGGCAUCAUCCAGUCUUCAAAAGGAGGGGACUCCGCAGCAUGUGACGACCUCAGCAAACCUGAGAGGGCUUUCACCAGGACAUUUGGCUUCUCAACACAAUCCUGGCCAAAUAAAUCUAACUUCAGAAGUCCUUCAGGUGUCUACAGGAGCUGACAAAUAAAGUUGUAAAGUGAGAUAAAUCAACGACUGACGGAGAAUACUUCGGCAUACACAUCUAUAAUUCCAACCUCAGGUGGAGGCCAAACGACUGCCAAGAGUUCAAGACCAGCCUGGGCUACACAAGUAGGCUCACCCAUUUGGUGCUGCUGAGGAUAAUAAUGGAACGCAUGAUGGGAGAAUGUGUUACUGAACACAUUUAAAUUCAAC